UGUGUCCUGAGAUUCAUUUGAUCUCUCGCUACCACCCAGCUGGCUUACCGGGCGCGCUCAAUUUCCGGGGGAGACCCAUUCUCGCUCGCGACCCGUGUCUUUUUUUUUUUGAAUUUUUUCAUUUCGCCCCCGUAGCUGCCAGGUUCCCUUCCCCUUCCUCUCGUUCCCUUGUCAUUCCCAACACGCAAUCAGAACAGAGUCCAGAGAGAGAUUCAUGCAUGGUUUUCGAGUCGCGACUCAUGCGAGUCGCUCUGGAGCAGCGACUCGGAAGAAGUCGAGCCUGUGUUGUGACUAGUCGCGACUCAGAUUCGCGAGUCGACACUAAGCUGAGUCGACCAUAUUUUUGCGACUCAUAGACUAGUCGUCCACUAGUCGGGACUAGUGGAGCGACUCGAAAUCCAUGGAUUCAUGGCGACUCGAAAUCCAUGGAUUCGCGAGGGUGUGGUCAGGCGUCCGGCGUUCGCCCUCCGGCUGCUUCGCUCCCGUCCGGCCGCCAACCCCCUCCUGCUCCCCCGUUGUCCGCGCCGUUGGUUUGCAGCAUCUCUCGACCGCCGCACCCACCCACGGCCUCUAUUUCUACCCCGGCGACUUUGUUGGUCUUCGUGAUUCGGGGAUUUCUUCACACUAAUUCUCAGUGGGUUUCCACUAUAAUUCCACUUAUUAGCUGUAAUUCCAAUUGGAUUUACAGUGUAAAUCAAGUUGCACUGAUAUUGUCAGUGGGUUUAGUGUAAUUGACAAUAAGUUCUUAUUUUUGGAUUUUUAGUUUAUUUUAGUGGUUUUUUACAGUGUAAUCCUUACUGGAAUUUACACUAUAAUGUGUAGUGUUUUGUUUCAUCUUUUGUAAAUUACAGUCUAUAUUAAUCUGAAUACCUGUGUACUUACCGUCUUAAGUUAAUGUACAUUAACCCUGUAACUUACUAUCCCAUUUUCAGUCUAUUUUUCAGUGUAUUUACACUGUAAAGUCAUUUGGAUUCUAUGUAAUUACACCGUAAUGUUAGUGCACUUACACUCUAUUUUCCUGUGUAAUUUUAUUUGUAAUUGUAAUGAUUUACAUUUGUAAUUACAGUCUAAGUUAAUGUAGAUUUUUAACCCUGUAACUUAUUAUUCUAUGUACUGUAAUUUCCAAUCUAUUUUCAGUAUUUACACUGCAAAUUCAUUUGUAUUAUAUGUAAUUACACUGUAAUUUUAGUGCACUUAUACUCUAUUUCCCUGUGUAAUUUCAGUGAAUUACAUUUGUAAUUGUAGUGAUUUAUAUUUGUAAUUACAGUUUAAGUUAACUGUAAAUUUUAACCCUGUAACUUACUAUAUCCUAUGUACUGUAAUUUCCAGUUUUUUUUUCCAGUGUAUUUACAAGGAAGGUCAGAGUAAUUUACAACCAAGUUGUAAUGUGACAAAAUAUCACAGUAAUCUCUCAAGAUAUGUUGAUUUCUGUAUUUUUUUAGUGUAAGUACAGUGUGUAGCUUAAGAAAUUUGGACCAUACAUCUAGGUAUUUUUUUCUACUCAAGACUUAAAUUUCUGUACUGUGUGGUGUGUGCACAUGACAGUUACUGGGGUCUAAUAGCAAGAGAAUUAAGUUGGUCAUCUUGGCUUCAUCUUACAUGAAGGAGUGCAUCUUCAUCUUGCUGGUAUGACUUCUUGAUGCUGAAAUUUUUGAAGAUAAUGAAAGCACUCAGUAGUGUUUGUUAGCAAGUGUACUCUACUCAUUUUCCAAUUUUCACUGCACUUUAUAAGCUGUUUACAGUGUAAAAAGUUGAGAUGCAGUUUUACAGGCAUGAUUUAAGACGAUUACUGUUUUUUACACUGUAAAUCUACUAUAAAAUGUCACUGUAAAUUGUAGCAGUUUACUGUGUAAAUUACAUUGUAAUUGUCACUGGAACAAUGGUUUUUCAUUGUAAUUCUACCGUAAAUCAGCAUUGUAAAUUUGCAGUAACUCUACUGUGAAUUAUAUUUUUAAAUCUACUGCAGUUGUACUGUAGAAGUCACUGUAAUUUGCUAAAUUGAUCAUUGCUCACAGUACUUUGAUUAAUCUUUUGUAGAGUUCCUGUUUUAUGUUUCCGGUACUGUGUAAAUGGGGAAUUUGACCAUGCCUUUUCAUGCCAAUGUUGAUCCCAUGACCUCAUUCUCCUUUUCUAAUCUGUUUUUCUUAAUUUCCUGCAAUGUAAUGCUAGUUUUUCCUCUGUUUUUCAUGUCCACGUUUCGUGCAGAUUCUGGGAAUUAGGAGAGGGAACUGUUCACAGGGAGGUAGAGAAGAUUGACAGGAGAGGGUCUCUUACAUGUGCAUCCAUGAUUUUCUCAAGGUUUGCCCUCUGGAUAUUGGAGGAAUUCCCCCUGUGAUUUCUUCUUUGAUGGGGUGGACAAGCACAUCGACACAUUCAGGGGACAGGAACAAAACGGAGGACACGUGACACUUGUUAAACUCUGUGUUGCCAAAAAAAUAUGACUGAAAACUAAUUGGAUUUCAGAAGAGGGUUUUUGCAGUGUCACUUUAAUGCAUCUUUCACUAUAA